rnacentral:rRNA from 1 species
CAGCAGUAGCCGCGGUAAUACCGAGGGUGCGAGCGUUAAUCGGAUUUACUGGGCGUAAAGCGUGCGUAGGCGGCUUCUUAAGUCGGAUGUGAAAUCCCUGAGCUUAACUUAGGAAUUGCAUUCGAUACUGGGAAGCUAGAGUAUGGGAGAGGAUGGUAGAAUUCCAGGUGUAGCGGUGAAAUGCGUAGAGAUCUGGAGGAAUACCGAUGGCGAAGGCAGCCAUCUGGCCUAAUACUGACGCUGAGGUACGAAAGCAUGGGGAGCAAACAGGAUUAGAUACCCGUGUAGUCCCUGUCUCUUAUAC